GCUAACUACGUGCAGUGAGCCGGUGUAAUACGGAGUGUUCAAGCGUUAAGCGGAAUUGUUGGUCGUAAAGCGCACGCAGGCGGGCUGUCAAUGCGGAUGUGAAAUCCCCGGGCUCAAGCUGGGAACUGCAUUCGAAACUGGCAGGCUAGAGUCUUGUAGAGGGGGGUAGAAUUCCAGGUGUAGCGGUGAAAUGCGUAGAGAUCUGGAGGAAUACCGGUGGCGAAGGCGGCCCCCUGGACAAAGACUGACGCUCAGGUGCGAAAGCGUGGGGAGCAAACAGGAUUAGAUACCCGUGUAGUC
rnacentral:rRNA from 1 species